rnacentral:rRNA from 1 species
CAGUCGCCGCGGGAACACGUAGGGUGCGAGCGUUAAUCGGAAUUACUGGGCGUAAAGCGUGCGCAGGCGGUUUUGUAAGACAGGCGUGAAAUCCCCGGGCUCAACCUGGGAAUGGCGCUUGUGACUGCAAAGCUAGAGUGCGGCAGAGGGGGAUGGAAUUCCGCGUGUAGCAGUGAAAUGCGUAGAUAUGCGGAGGAACACCGAUGGCGAAGGCAAUCCCCUGGGCCUGCACUGACGCUCAUGCACGAAAGCGUGGGGAGCAAACAGGAUUAGAUACCCGAGUAGUCCCUGUCUCUUAUAC